UGGGGAAUUUUGCACAAUGGGGGAAACCCUGAUGCAGCGACGCCGCGUGAUUUAGAAUGCCUUCGGGUUGUAAAAAUCUUUUCUAUGGGAAGAAAAUGACAGUACCAUAGGAAUAAGGACCGGCUAAUUACGUGCCAGCAGCCGCGGUAAUACGUAAGGUCCGAGCGUUGUCCGGAAUCAUUGGGCGUAAAGGGUACGUAGGCGGGUAAGCAAGUUAGAAGUGAAAUCCUAUAGCUCAACUAUAGUAAGCUUUUAAAACUGCUCAUCUUGAGGUAUGGAAGGGAAAGUGGAAGUCCUAGUGUAGCGGUGAAAUGCGCAGAUAUUAGGAGGAAUACCGGUGGCGAAGGCGACUUUCUGGCCAUAACCUGACGCUGAGGUACGAAAGCGUGGGUAGCAAACAGG
rnacentral:rRNA from 1 species